rnacentral:rRNA from 1 species
AUUGAACGCUGGCGGCAGGCCUAACACAUGCAAGUCGAACGAGUGGCGGACGGGUGAGUAAUGUCUGGGAACUGCCUGAUGGAGGGGGAUAACUACUGGAAACGGUAGCUAAUACCGCAUACUAUCGGAUAACCCAUAUGGGAUUAGCUAGUAGGUGAGGUAAUGGCUCACCUAGGCGACGAUCACUAGCUGGUCUGAGAGGAUGAUGAGCCUGACUGGGACUGAGACCCGGCCCAGACUCCUACGGAGGCAGCAGUGUGGAAUAUUGCACAAUGGGCGCAAGCCUGAUGCAGCCAGGCCGCGUGUAUGAAGAAGGCCCUAGGGUUGUAAAUUACUUUCAGUCGGGAGGCGUUACCGACAGAAGAAGCACCGGCUAACUCCGUGCCAGCCGCGGUAAUAC